rnacentral:rRNA from 1 species
GAGCGGCGGACGGGUGAGUAAUGCCUAGAGAAAUUGCCCUGGUGUGGGGGAUAACCAUUGGAAACGAUGGCUAAUACCGCAUAAUGCCUACUGGCCAAAGAGGGGGACCUUCGGGCCUCUCGCGUCAGGAUAUGCCUAGGUGGGAUUAGCUAUGUUGGUGAGGUAAUGGCUCACCAAGGCGACUAUCCCUAUACUGGUCUGAGAGGAUGAUCAGCCACACUGGAACUGAGACACGGUCCAGACUCCUACGGGAGGCAGCAGUGGGGAAUAUUGCACAAUGGGCGCAAGCCUGAUGCAACCAUGCCGCGUGUGUGAAGAAGGCCUUCGGGUUGUAAAGCACUUUCAGUCGUGAGGAAGGUAGUGUAGUUAAUAGCUGCAUUAUUUGACGUUAGCGACAGAAGAAGCACCGGCUAACUCCGUGCCAGCAGCCGCGGUAAUACGGAGGGUGCGAGCGUUAAUCGGAAUUACUGGGCGUAAAGCGCAUGCAGGUGGUUUGUUAAGUCAUAUGUGAAAGCCCGGGGCUCAACCUCGGAAUAGCAUUUGAAACUGGCAUACUAGAGUACUGUAGAGGGGGGUAGAAUUUCAGGUGUAGCGGUGAAAUGCGUAGAGAUCUGAAGGAAUACCGGUGGCGAAGGCGGCCCCCUGGACAGAUACUGACACUCAGAUGCGAAAGCGUGGGGAGCAAACAGGAUUAGAUACCCUGGUAGUCCACGCCGUAAACGAUGUCUACUUGGAGGUUGUGGCCUUGAGCCGUGGCUUUCGGAGCUAACGCGUUAAGUAGACCGCCUGGGGAGUACGGUCGCAAGAUUAAAACUCAAAUGAAUUGACGGGGGCCCGCACAAGCGGUGGAGCAUGUGGUUUAAUUCGAUGCAACGCGAAGAACCUUACCUACUCUUGACAUCCAGAGAACUUUCCAGAGAUGGAUUGGUGCCUUCGGGAACUCUGAGACAGGUGCUGCAUGGCUGUCGUCAGCUCGUGUUGUGAAAUGUUGGGUUAAGUCCCGCAACGAGCGCAACCCUUAUCCUUGUUUGCCAGCGAGUAAUGUCGGGAACUCCAGGGAGACUGCCGGUGAUAAACCGGAGGAAGGUGGGGACGACGUCAAGUCAUCAUGGCCCUUACGAGUAGGGCUACACACGUGCUACAAUGGCGCAUACAGAGGGCAGCAAGCUAGCGAUAGUGAGCGAAUCCCAAAAAGUGCGUCGUAGUCCGGAUUGGAGUCUGCAACUCGACUCCAUGAAGUCGGAAUCGCUAGUAAUCGUGGAUCAGAAUGCCCCGGUGAAUACGUUCCCGGGCCUUGUACACACCGCCCGUCACACCAUGGGAGUGGG